rnacentral:misc_RNA from 1 species
GAUGAAGAACGUAGCGAAAUGCGAUACGUAAUGUGAAUUGCAGAAUUCAGUGAAUCAUCGAAUCUUUGAACGCAUAUUGCGCUCUCUGGUAUUCCGGAGAGCAUGCUUGUUUGAGUAUCAGUAAACACCUCAACUUCCAUAUCUUUUUUGAAAUGGGAGUUGGACUUGAGUGAUCCCAACGCUUUUCCUCACCGAAAAGUGGCGGGUUACUUGAAAUGCAGGUGCAGCUGGACUUUUCUCUGAGCUAUAAGCAUAUCUAUUUAGUCUGCCUAAAAAACAGAUUAUUACCUUUGCUGCAGCUAACAUAAAGGAGAUUAGUUCUUGUGCUGACUGAUGCAGGAUUCACAAAGACGGCUUCGGCCGACUUUGUAAACUCGAUCUCAAAUCAAGUAAGACUACCCGCUGAACUUAAGCAUAUCAAUAUGCGGAGGA